GUGCUAAGGUAGCAUAAUAAUUUGUCUUUUAAUUAAAGACUAGAACAAAAGAUUUAACAUUUCCUAAUAUUUUUUUAUUUUAAAAAUUUAAUUUUCCUAAUUGUAAAAAAGCACUUAUAAAAAAGAAAGACGAUAAGACCCUAUUGAACUUAACUUUAGUUUUACUGGGGUAGUAUAUUAAUAAUUAUUUUAACUUAAUAAUAUCAAUAAAUAUCUUAUUUUAUUAAAUAAUUCAGUUACCAUAGGGAUAACAGCGUAAUUAAAUUAUAAAGACCACAUAUAAAAAUUAAAUUGCGACCUCGAUGUUGAAUUAAUAACCUAAUUAAGGUAAAUCUUAAAUAAGGUAAGUCUGUUCGACUUUUAAAAAAUUACAUGAUUUGAGUUCAGACCGGUAUAAGCCAGGUCGGCUUCUAUCUUCUUAUCAUAAUUUCUUGUAGUACGAAAGGACCUAAAAAAUUAAUAUUAUUAAUAAAUUAGCAAAAAAUUGCAUUAAAUUUAGAAUUUAAAAAAACUAAU
rnacentral:rRNA from 1 species